rnacentral:rRNA from 1 species
GACGAACGCUGGCGGCGUGCUUAACACAUGCAAGUCGAACGGAAAGGCCCUGCUUUUGUGGGGUGCUCGAGUGGCGAACGGGUGAGUAACACGUGAGUAACCUGCCCUUGACUUUGGGAUAACUUCAGGAAACUGGGGCUAAUACCGGAUAGGAGCUCCUGCUGCAUGGUGGGGGUUGGAAAGUUUCGGCGGUUGGGGAUGGACUCGCGGCUUAUCAGCUUGGUGGUGGGGUAGUGGCUUACCAAGGCUUUGACGGGUAGCCGGCCUGAGAGGGGGACCGGCCACAUUGGGACUAAGAUACGGCCCAGACGCCUACGGGAGGCAUCAGUGGGGAAUGUUGCACAAUGGGCGGAAGCCUGAUGCAGACGCGCCGCGUGCGGGAUGACUGCCUUCGGGUUGUAAACCGCUUUCGCCUGCGACGAAGCGUGAGUGACGGUAAUGGGUAAAGAAGCACCGGCUAACUACGUG